rnacentral:rRNA from 1 species
GACGAACGCUGGCGGCGUGCUUAACACAUGCAAGUCGAACGAUGAACCCGGAGCUUGCUCCGGUGGAUUAGUGGCGAACGGGUGAGUAACACGUGAGUAACCUGCCCUUGACUCUGGGAUAACUGCGGGAAACUGUAGCUAAUACCGGAUACGACCCUCGGCGGCAUCGCCAGGGGGUGGAAAGAAUUUCGGUCAAGGAUGGACUCGCGGCCUAUCAGCUAGUUGGUGAGGGAACGGCUCACCAAGGCGACGACGGGUAGCCGGCCUGAGAGGGUGACCGGCCACACUGGGACUGAGACACGGCCCAGACUCCUACGGGAGGCAGCAGUGGGGAAUCUUCCGCAAUGGGCGCAAGCCUGACGGAGCAACGCCGCGUGAGUGAAGAAGGUCUUCGGAUUGUAAAACUCUGUCUUCAGGGAAGAAACUAAUGACGGUACCUGAGGAAGAAGCCCCGGCUAACUACGUGCCAGCAGCCGCCGUAA